UCCCUCAGCCCGGAUUGCGAGAGGGUGCAGGCCAGGCCGAGAGACCCCACCAGUGCACA
rfam:Myotis lucifugus cont2.4750, whole genome shotgun sequence.